rnacentral:lncRNA from 1 species
GAAUGCCCCGUUGAGCCGAGACAUCUCUAGUGGUGUCUACCGUGGACUAUGCCAUUAUCUUUGAGAUAGGCUCAAAAUUUUUUACUAAGAUAUUUUCCUCCUCGAUCUGAUCGAAGAACCUUUAUGGAUUUUUUGAUCUGCUAUUUUACUUCUUAUCUGAACUCUAUGAACUUUUCAAAGGCUUCAGACUUAUGGUGCA